rnacentral:rRNA from 1 species
CUCUCGCAUGGGAGAUGAAAGAAAGACGGAUCAAUCUGUCACUUAUGGAUGGACCUGCGGCGCAUUAUCUAGUUGGUGAGGGAACGGCUCACCAAGGCGACGAUGCGUAGCCGACCUGAGAGGGUGAUCGGCCACACUGGGACUGAUACACGGCCCAGACUCCUACGGGAGGCAGCAGUAGGGAAUCUUCCGCAAUGGGCGAAAGCCUGACGGAGCAACGCCGCGUGAGUGAUGAA